GGUGACUAAGCUGAAGCAGCAAGAGGAGCUCCUUAACAGGAUGGGGGAAUGCCUCCCACCCAGUCAGGCACUGUGCACCAAUCUGCACUCCUCCGGGCAAUGGCAUGCACUCAGCACCCACUGGGUGACCUCCAGGCCGAAACCUUUGCGUCCUGAUACACAGCUGGAGCUGCUCUCACUUGCAACCCUUUCUCAGUGGCUCUAGCUUGAGUUUUAUAGGGCCACAUUCCUUGGAUUUACCAAUGGUUUUCGUAUUUACCUGAAAAGCAGACAGGACUACAGCCUUCUAACCAACUUUAGCAUUUGCCAGUUUGGAGAGGGUUUUCUGCAAAUGUGCCCCAUCUGCUUGUGCACAGAAGACCUGUCACUGGAGACCACUCAACAGAGUCACCUCCUCCUCCCACACAACACUGUCCCCAUCUGGGGUCCCUUUCACCCUCCUCUGACUCUCAACAACAGUAGAGCGUGACAAGCAAUCAUGCUGCUCCUGGCAGCGCUUGUGGCCACAGCCGCCUGGUCUUGUGGAUUUGCACAAGAAAUUCCCAUGCAGAAGCCUAUAUCCAUCACCAAGUUCCAAAAAACUGCACGGAUGACAUGUGAAAUUCAAACAUUAGAGUCAGGUUUUGAUGGCACCAUCAUACAUUGGUAUCAACAGAAGGAGGGUAAAGAUCCAGAGAGACUCCUGUUGUUUACAGGAGGGGAAACUUCAGUUGAAGGGGGCUUUCAAGCACACAGGUACAUAGUUGAAAAAGUUCCUGGCCAGAACCAGUGUGUUCUUACAAUAAAAGAUGUAAUUCCAGACGAUGCUGCUACUUACUACUGUGCCUACUGGGGCCCUCACAGUGACAGAAACUCAAAGAUUAUCAAGGCAAAAAAAAAAACCCAAACAAUCUCCCUCAACAUCUGA